rnacentral:rRNA from 1 species
AGCCCUUAUAAUUAUUAAGGGUGUUACCUGCCCAGUGAUAAUUAAUCUAAUCAUAAUUUGAUUAAUACUAAUUAAACGGACGCGGUAAUUCUGACUGUGAUAAUGUAGCAUAAUCAAUUACUACUUAAUUAGUGGAGUGUAUGAAUGGUUUUACGAGUAUCUCAUUGUCUUAAAAAGAAUUUUUUAAAAUUUAAAUAAUAGUUAAGAUGCUAUUUAAAAUCGUAAGACGAAAAGACCCUAUAGAGCUUUACUAUAAUUAUUUUGGUUAGAAUUAUAAAUUAUUUAAUUUAUCAAGAAUAGUUGGUAGUUUAGUUGGGGCGACUAUCUUUUAUAAUUAACAAAGUAUAAGCAAAAUUAAUAUUAAUAAUUUAUUGUAUAAUUAUUAAAUUUAACAAUUACUAAAGUAGGCUAUAAUGACCUGUUAAAACUAAUAAAUAAGUUUAACGAUUAAUAAAUAAAAGCUACCUUAGGGAUAACAGGAUAAUUUUGUUUUAGAGUUCUAAUCGAAUACAAAGUUUGUCACCUCUAUGUUGAAUUAAGAUAUCCCAAUAAUGCAGAAGUUAUUAAUGGUAGGUCUGUUCGACCUUUAAAAUCUU